rnacentral:rRNA from 1 species
UGAGGAAUUUUCCGCAAUGGACGCAAGUCUGACGGAGCAACGCCGCGUGCAGGAAGACGGCCUUCGGUUGUGAAACUGCAUUUUCUUGAGAGACGAGCAAGGACGGUAUCUCAGGAAGAAGCCCCGGCCUAACUACGUGCCAGCAGCCGCGGUAAUACGUAGGGGGCGAGCGUUGUCCGGAGUGACUGGGCGUAAAGGGCUUGUAGGCGGUGAUGCGCGUCAACCGGGCCAGCUGGCAGCUUCCCUGCCGGAGAGCGGUUGAAACGGCAUGACUUGAGGGCGAGAGAGGGACAUGGAACUCCGGGUGGAGUGGUGAAAUGCGUAGAGAUCCGGAAGAACA